AUCACUUCUUGGCCUUUUGGCUAAGAUCAAGUGUAGUAUCUGUUCUUAUCAGUAAAAUUCUCUCUGAAUUUCUCUCUUGGUCAUAUGUAUGGUGAGAUAACUGGGUUAGGUCAUCUCCAGGACUCUUCAAUUCUAA
rnacentral:snRNA from 1 species